AUAAAGUAAAAGCUAGGGAGGAAAGAUCUAACUAAGAGAUAGCAAGCUUUAUGACAUAAUUCAAGCAAGAAUUCCCUCAUUCGAAUUAAGCCUCAAGCAAGCCAAACAAACAAAGAAUAAACCAUGUAUCAGAUGAAACCAGGAUAACUAACCCAAUUCUUCAAUAGAAGUCCAAAGUCCAAGGUAUCAGAUGAAUCCCAAAGUCGUAAAUCACAAGCUUUCAAAGCAAGGGUCAAGAUCCUAGUU
rnacentral:lncRNA from 1 species